AGUGGUUUACCAGCAUGAAAAGGUUAAGUUCUACUAUGGGAGGGACUCACGCUUUUAGCCAUUUUUCUGUUGCACAAAUCCUCCACUGGUCUCAUGGAGCUCAAGGAGAGGUGUUUUAUUCACUGGAGAUAUCUUACAGGUGGGGAUGGACAACAAAACAGUGAGCAUAAUGAGAUCGUAUCCAAGCUAUAUACCACUCUCGUCCAUGUUUGAUUUGUAGGUGGGGAUGGACAACAAAAUAGUGAGCAUAAUGAGAUCGUAUCUAAACUAUAUACCACUCUUGUCAAGCCACACUAAAAGGAUAGGCCAGGUGAUCGAGCCAUGGAAUUUUGGGAGGCUCUACGUUGCGUUUCAGGACAGAGAGGAUGACGCUGCUUAAGCAUCACAAUUAUCGAUUGACUCUCAAGUAAUGAAUCAGACUGAAACUCGAGAUGUCUUUCUGAUUAUGAUUUGCCAUAACAUUGUUUCCAAAGCUAAA